ACAUUCAUGAAUUCACAAGAUAAAUUCAGAUCGUGAUAAGUGCUCUGAAGAGAUUACACAGGGCGCAGUGGCCUGGGAGACAUCUGACCCAGGACCUCAAUGAUAGGUGGUGGGAGUCUGCCAUACAAGGCUCCGGGCUGGGUGGGCGGAAGUGCCAAGGCCUUGAGGUGGGAAACCCUCACACCCCCUGCACCAAACUAGCCGGUGGGGUACUUGGUCCCCCAGGUAAGGGGAGGAGGAGUCCGGCUGAGGGGGUGGAAGAGCGGCUGGAGGCACAUCGCAGGUGCCUGGGAGAUAUUCAAGCGGCGGGGCCUCGGGACGUGAAGGAGAGAGAGGCCUGCGGCAGAGCCCAGAAGCACAGGGCCCUGAGAAGAGGGCCCAGGAGGACAGGCAGCUACCGCGCGGGAGAAGAAGCCGCCGGAAAGGCCCGUUCUGAGCGCUCAGCGAGAUGAACCAGCCCAGCCUGGGUUUAGAGGGCUUUUGAUUUCCUUCACACCAGGAUCCAUCCUUGGCCAUCGCUGUGAUCCCAGCCCUGAUCGCAGGUACUGAUAAAGUGCAUCACCUCCCGUCUUGGAAAGCAUGGAGUGGCAAACCAAGCUACCAGCCGUGAACAUGCCCGGAAGCUUUGUCUUUGAAAUAGCUCGCAACAUCUUCCUGCUUUAGAGAGCUAUUGAGCAGGUUUGUUUGCAGUUAAAUGUACAUGACUCUCAUGUCUUUAUUAGGAGAGAGGCUACUGACCAAGAAAGGUGGUCCUCAAGAAACUAAUGCCAUGUAUCACUUAUCUGCUGCCGUGUAACAAAUUACCCCCAAACUCAGUGUCUUAAAAGCACAGCAUCUACUACCUCAUAGUUUCUACAGUUCAGGAGUCUGGGUGCGACUUAGCAGGGUCCUCUGGCUCGGGGUCCCUUACAGACUAGCAGUCAAGGUGUCAGCGAUGACUGAAGUCACCAGAAGGAAUGGCUGGGAAACAGUCUCCUUCCAAGCUGACUGACAUGGUCGUUGGCAGCUUUUGGUUCCCCAAGGGCUGUUGGUUUCUCUCUCACUAGCUGAGAGCUGGAGGGUGCCCUCUGUCCUUGAAGAUUCACUAGGUUCAGCCCACACUCAAGACGAAGUGAUUACAUGGGGUGGAGGUGGGGGAGGUAAAUGCCAGGAGGUGCGGAAUCACCAGAAGCCAUGUCAGUAGCCACCUAUCACGCAUCAGCAGAGUGGAGAUGGUGGUCAUUGAUAAUAAUAAUGAUAGCUGCCAUUUAGUGGGUGCUUCUGCUAUGCCAGCCCCUGGGCUAAAUCCCUUCUGUGUGUUGUCUCAUUUAAUUGUCACAUUGCUCUUUGAACCUGGAGAACGGACUGGCAACCCACUCCAGUAUUCUUGCCUGGAGAAUCCGGUAUUCUUGCCUGGACAGAGGAGCCUGGCGGUCUACAGUCCAUAGGGUAGCAAAGAGUCGGACACGACUGGAGCCACUUAACCUGCGUGCAUGCUCUGUGAACCAGGAAGAUACAUGAACUUCCCUGAGUUCCUGCAGCAAAGACACGAGAACCUGACUGGUGCUUUCCACUCCAAAUACCCUUCCUUUACAUAAUGCAGAUCCUUGACCUGCACCGACUGAGCUUCUGGGGCCAAAACAAGCCCCUGUUGUGAUAAGAAUCAGGAAAACAAAGCUGAACUCGCUACUCAUCAGAAAAUUGCAAGGGAACACACCAGAAGCCAUUUCUUACCCAUCAGAUUAGGAAAAAAAAAGUUGUUGAGAGUGUGGGGAAUUCUCAUGCACUGCUGAGAGACUAUAAAUU
ensembl:lncRNA